ACCAGAUCUGCAUACUUCGCGAUUAUCGAGUCGCAGCUUCGAUAUGGAAUUUGCUUUUGGGAUUCAUGUUCAAAUUCACUUUUUAGUUCAGUGUUUGUACUCCAGAAAAGGGCCAUUAGAUAUCUAUGUGGGGCCAAGACUCGUGACUCAUGUCGCCCGCUUUUUGUAAGUCAUAAUAUUUUAACCCUGUGUUGUAUCUUUAUUUUGGAAACAGUUUGCUUAGUUUUUAGAAAAUAUAAACAGGAACUCCACUUAGGGAGCCGCUAUAAUACGCGACAAAAUUAUUUGUUGAGGCUACAUCAACGUCAUCAUGAGGCUAAUACCAUUCCUCAUUUUGAACUUAGAACUUGUCCGUAGCUCUAUCAUAUAUGGAGGUAGAAAGCUGUUUAUUAAACUUCCAUUAAAAAAUAAGACAACUUACGACUGAAAAAAGCGUACGUACAAGGACGAAAAUAUUUCUUGCUAGUAAAGCGUACUAAACUAUGUAGCACCUAAACUAUGGUGAAUUUUUUAAUGAUUAGCAUUUAAGUAUUUUUCAAAGUUUUAUAUAAUUUUAUUUUAUUUUAAAUUAGUUUCUCGUUUUUAUUCAUUUAAUGUACAGUCUAUUGGCUUUGUCUACAACUUCUAUGUUUAUAUUGACAAUAAAGCAUUUUUGAGUUUGAGUUUGAGUUUAGUCUUAGACAAUCACGAUAGCCAUGUGAAUAUCCCAGCUAUUCUUUUUUGCAAAGAAAAUAGCAUUAUUCCGAUUAUGUUCCACCCCCAUACUAGUCACAAAACGCAACCGCCCAGGCAACACAGUUUUUGGGCCCAUGAAAACUUAUUAUAAUGCCGCAUGUAGCGAGUGGAUGAUUAUGCAUCCUGGACAAACCAUUACGAUUUAUGAUGUAUCUGAGCUUGCAGGCAAGGCAUUUCCAAAAGCAUUUACUACAUCCAACAUUUAGAAGGGGUUUGAAGUAAGUGGUCUUUAUCCAGUCAAUGAUAAUAUUUUUGAAGAGAGCGAGGUUUUGUCAUCAUAUGUGACCGAUCGUCCUUUAGAUCACUCUACUACCAGUCGUAAACAAGUCAACGUUAAAUCGAAUGGGGAACAAGCCGAAGCCACGGCUCAGAAAAUUGAUGGCUCUAAUCCCUCUACAUAAAAUUUUCUUCAAGGAGGAACGUCAGGAAAUGUUAUUACACCUGAAAUGGUACGGUCCUAUCCGAAAGCACCGGCUCGCAAAAUAAACUCAGGUAGAGCUAGAGGAAAGUCACGUAUCUUCACUGACACUCCAGAGAAAGAUUAAAUUGAGGGCCUUAAAAAGAGAAAGACUUUAGCAAAUGCAUCAUCUGGAAAAGUUCAAGCAGUUAUUAAGAGAAUAGUUGAAGAACGUGUUUUAAAAAAUGUACCAAAAAGCGUUGCUAAAUAUGAUGAGAGACAACUUCAAGUAGCAAUGAAGAAACAUUUCAGGACUUAGUAGCUAGAGAGGAAGAAUUAAUAAAUGACCAAAAUAUAUACGACUUAUCUGAAGAUUUUGAUAUUCAACAAGGAGACUUCGUUUUAGUGAAAGUUGCUGGAAAGAAAUCGUUCACUUAUUAUGUUGCCGAAAUACUAAAUAGUGAGACUCAUAGCGAACUCAAAUAUUUACGCAAAAUUUUAAGCACCAAUAAAUUUAUAAAUGACUCAACCGAGACCUAUGAUUUUUUGCGUAAGCAAAAAUGAUUUUUUCAUUAUACGUCAGUUUCCGCAGCCGCACAAAAUAAACGGAAGUGCACGUCAUGAUGCUCACCUGCAGUUUGAUGUUGAAUUUAGUGGAUUUAAUGAUAAAUAAGUAUUUGUCGUAAUCGUUUCCAUUCCUUUUUUUUAUAACUGACCCAAGGUACAACAUAUACUGGUCCAAGGUACAUUACUCGUUUGUACCUUGGGUCAUCUUAUCUUAUCUUGGGUCAUCUCAUUAAGGGAUAGCUUAUGUCUGAUGAUGCUUUUAGGAGCGAAACACGUGUCACCACUUAACAAAUCAAAUAAUUUUUUUGAGACCGAGACUCUGUGUUGUUCUUGUAUUGCCACUAGCAACUUUUCUACGUACGAUGUUCAGACUUUCCUUCGAGAAACUUGCCGUGGCACUUUUAAAAAAGAGAAAAUCCUAACUAUAAUUAACAUCUAUAUCUUGGACUGCACAUGUCAAGUACAUAAAAAUCUUUCCAACCACAUGAGAUCUGGAGAUCUUAAUUUUUAUAAAACUCGAAAUGCAGAUAAAUUAUACAUCCAUUUUAGCCGUGGGUUUUAUACUUUACUUACCAUUCCUGUUACCCUGGUAUUGGCAGAGGAAGUAUCAGUAAUGAUAGCCAUGCUAACAGAAACAUUGCCUUUACUCACACCUCCAAUUAUUCUUGCCAAAACAAAUAGUAGAAAA
rnacentral:lncRNA from 1 species